UACGUAGGGUGCAAGCGUUGUCCGGAAUCAUUGGGCGUAAAGCGCGUGUAGGCGGCCAGGUAGGUCUGCUGUGAAAACUCGAGGCUCAACCUCGAGACGUCGGCGGAAACCAUCUGGCUAGAGUCCGGAAGAGGAGAGUGGAAUUCCUGGUGUAGCGGUGAAAUGCGCAGAUAUCAGGAAGAACACCCGUGGCGAAGGCGGCUCUCUGGGACGGUACUGACGCUGAGACGCGAAAAGCGUGGGGGAGCGAACAGG
rnacentral:rRNA from 1 species